rnacentral:rRNA from 1 species
UGGGGAAUUGUUCGCAAUGGGCGCAAGCCUGACGACGCAACGCCGCGUGGAGGAUGAAGACCUUCGGGUCGUAAACUCCUUUCGAUCGAGACGAAUGGCCUCCGGGUGAACAAUCCGGAGGAGUGACGGUACCGAGAGAAGAAGCCCCGGCUAACUCUGUGCCAGCAGCCGCGGUAAUACAGAGGGUGCGAGCGUUGUCCGGAAUCACUGGGCGUAAAGGGCGCGUAGGCGGCCCGGUAAGUAGGGGGUGAAAUCUCAUGGCUCAACUGUGAGGCUGCCUUCUAGACUGCCAGGCUUGAGCACAGUAGAGGCGAGUGGAAUUCCCGGUGUAGCGGUGGAAUGCGUAGAGAUCGGGAAGAACAUCGGUGGCGAAGGCGGCUCGCUGGGCUGUUGCUGACGCUGAGGCGCGAAAGCGUGGGGAGCAAACAGGAUUAGAUACCCAAGUAGUCCCUGAGCGGGCUGGCAAGGCGCAU